UAAUAACAGUGGAUAUUUUAAUGAUAUAUUGAUAUUAUAUAUAAUAGAUAAUAACAGUGGAUAUUUUAAUCAUAUAUUGAUAUUAUAUAUAAUAGAUGAUAACAUAGAUAUUUUAAUGAUAUAUUGAUAUUAUAUUUAAUAGAUUAAUAACAUUGGAUAUUUUAAUCAUAUAUUGAUAUUAUAUAUAAUAGAUAAUAACAUUGGAUAUUGUAAUGAUAUUUUGACCUCCGACCUGUAAAUGUCCCCGGUUUUAAUUUCAGAAAUCUGGUCACCUUAACUUAAAAUCCCAUGACUAAUGUACUGAUGUAGCUCCAUGGGAGGAGUGAAACCCGCAGGCUCACCGUGGAAUGAGUUGGACACAUGCUCGUGUAUGUUUACAUUUACUUUGUUUACAAACAUUGGAGUAGAACAAAAACAUCUAUUUUGGGAUCUGAUGGGGUACGGCAGUUGAACUAUAUUCAUGAGGCAUUUAUAAAUGAUAUUCUUCAAGCAUCCAUAAGUGGAUGUAUCAACUGCAGAUUGGCCAUUUAAAGGGGUCAUGUGACCUGGUCAUGUGACCGGGCAAAAGCAGUAACAGACGAGCACCCUUCUCAAAUCUGUACCCCAUGAUCACAUUGUCAACAAGGAAGAAACAUAAACCUUUAUUUUCCAUAAAAUGUUCAAACUAUUUUUCCUUAGGAAGGCAGACAAAGCACAUCUACAAAACAAAUGGAAUCCCUUUCCACCCAAUGCAAACUGCACCCACCCAAACGAACACCGUCAGUCUGGGACAGAUUCCUCGUCAUCAGAGCUGUAGUGGAUGCUGUCAUCUAGGUCCUCUUCCACGAGGUCAUCUAUGAAGUUAUCUUCUAGGGGGGAGGUGUCUUGGCCCAUAGCUUUGCUGUAUAUCAGUUUGACAGAGUCCUGGUGUCCUGCUGACUCUCCUCUGAAGCAUGGAGAAGAGACCUCUGCUCCCAGCUUCCGACUGAUUCAACUACCAGCCUGACACCAACAAUCGUAAUGUGUCGUAUAAAUACAAUGACGUAUUCCUUAAAUACAAUAUCAAUUACAGGGUGCCAACAUCAAUACAUAUUAAUGAACGUUCCCCUACUACUAAUACAAUGACGUAUUCCUUAAAUACAAUAUCAAUUACAGGGUGCCAACAUCAAUACAUAUUAAUGAACGUUCCCCUACUACUAAUACAAUGACGUAUUCCUUAAAUACAAUAUCAAUUACAGGGUGCCAACAUCAAUACAUAUUAAUGAACGUUCCCCUACUACUAAUACAAUGAAGUAUUCCUUAAAUACAAUAUCAAUUACAGGGUGCCAACAUCAAUACAUACUAAUGAACGUUCCCCUACUUUGCCUGCUUAGGUCAGGUGCCACAUGUGAAGCCAGGUCUUGCACAUUCUCCGAUCCCCUCUUUAGGCUUUCCCAGUGCUGCUGGACUUCCUUUAGGACAAUUACCUCUUCCUCCUUCAGCUGUCUCAGGAGCAUCACCCGGUCAAAGGCUAUCUUCUUUUUUCCCUGGCACCCAAAAGUACUUGUUUCAUUUCGAAUGCAAAGCCGGACAGGAAAAUGGUCCAUAUCACACACUUAUCAAGAGAACAUCCCUGGUCAUCCCUACUGCCUCUGAUCUGGAGGACUCACUAAACAGAGAACAUCCCUGGUCAUCCCUACUGCCUCUGAUCUGGAGGACUCACUAAACAGAGAACAUCCCUGAUCAUCCCUACUGCCUCUGAUCUGGAGGACUCACUAAACAGAGCACAUCCCUGGUCAUCCCUACUGCCUCUGAUCUGGAGGAAUCACUAAACAGAGAAAAUACCUGGUCAUCCCUACUUCCUCUGAUCUGGAGCACUCACUAAACAGAGAACAUCCCUGGUCAUCCCUACUGCCUCUGAUCUGGAGGACUCACUAAACAGAGAACAUCCCUGGUCAUCCCUACUGCCUCUGAUCUGGAGGACUCACUAAACAGAGAACAUCCCUGGUCAUCCCUACUGCCACAGAUCUGGAGGACUCACUAAACAGAGAACAUCCCUGGUCAUCCCUACAUCCUCUGAUCUGGAGGACUCACUAAACAGAGAACAUCUCUGGUAAUCCCUACUGCCUCUGAUCUGGAGGACUCACUAAACAGAGAACAUCUCUGGUCAUCCCUACUGCCUCUGAUCUAGCGGACUCACUAAACACAUGCUUUGUUUGUAAAUUAUGUCUGAGUGUUCCCAUGGCUAUUUCUUAAAUAAAAAAACUAACGAACCCCA